UGAGUACAUGCAACUUCAAGUUAUCUCUGUUAUAAAAAUCCACCAGCCCAGCGUUUAUAGAUAAUUUUAGCAGUUCGUUUUUUAUGAGUGAGGUUGUGAAUUUAGUUAGCAUUUGUGAGUUGAGUUAGCAUUACUGUCGCGAGGGAAGCAUUGCUCUGGAUUAGUUUCUGUGUUUGGCGUGCUUAAUUUGCUAGGGAGGAAUUACCAAAGUACAUGGAGUUAUGUUAACCUGUAAUUUCUGUGGUAAGGUAGUUCAGUCAUCAAGGGGCUACGUGCUUCAUUGUAAACUGCAUUGGAAUGAGCCACGUUGUUUCUUUCGGUGUAUUGAAGCAGGCUGCAAGCAGACAUACACCGGGUAUGGCGUGUUUAAGGCUCAUUUUUACCGAAGACACUCUGCCCCCACCCAUGUCACUGGUGUGGCGGUGGUUUCUUCGUUUACAUGUGCAAUGGCGAUGUGUGAACGUCAGUGUCAGAACUCUCUCUUUAUGAUUAAAAAGGUUUGUUUUGUUCCUGCCCUUUUCAGACACUGAAUUUGAGCAGAAACCAUAAGGAUACUCAAAGGACCUGUGACUCUCAGGAAAUGCAUCAAAUGAGAGGGACAGAUGAAACAGUUUCAAGACAAUGGCAGGAAAAACAUGCUGAAGAUUGAAACAAACCUUGGCUGGAAAUAUUUGAAGGUAUCUAGCCAGUCCACAAUAAAAGCUUCGUUGCACCCCAUGAGUCUUCUGGCAGAAAUGAUGGCGCCUGUAUUCUUUGGUUUCCCUAAACAUCACACCCUGCCUGUUUAUACGAGGCUCUUCAAUUAAGUCUGCACCCAAAGAUUCAAUAAGAGAGGGGAUCCUGCCAGUCCAAAGUGAACUCCUGAUGGACAUUGAAGUACUCCUGCAGAGCUUGUAUCUUCGACACCAUGUGCAUUAGAAACUCCACUGAGUCCUUUCCUUCACCAAGGCAGGACCCAGUGACUCAUUACUGUUGAUAGGUCAGGGGCAGGUAAUAUUUUGUUUCAUGUUUAUUCAUUCCUCCAUGGAUUACCAGCCAUAUAUAUGGACACAUGCUGUAUUCUCAAGAUCUAUGCUGUUUUGUAGGAAUAGAGAAAAUGAUAUGUUUAGUCUGUUUUCAAAUGGUAUGUCAAAUUUUCUCAUUGUUUAUCAGUAAUAUUCACUACCUUGGUUAUAUAUGAGCAUCUUUAGAUUUUUCUAUAUUUAGCGGUUGCAAAUGUAAAAUGUACGGUAAACCAUUUAUGUUCCUCAUAUUGUACUGUAUUUUUAGCGGUAAAAUACCGGCAGCUGUGGUUGCCAGGAAUUUACCGUAAAAUGUAUCUGGUCAAAAUAAAAUGCUGUAAUUUGUUAUACAA